CGGUCUUAUCACAUUUAACCACCGGUUCUCGUACGAUCGCCGAAAAUAAGCAACGUCGAGUCUGUUCUGUACCUAGCUGGGUGACCGCUUGGAAACUCCAGGUGCUGCAAG